AUGGCGGACGCAGAGGCCGUGUUGCAGCGGCUCGGCGCCCGCCCCUGCCAAGAGUUCGUGAGCUGGGGGCAGUGCCUGGGCUGGGGGCCGCAGGAACUAGUGCCCAUCGCGGCCCCGGCGGUGUUGGACCCCGGAGACAGCAAAGACUACGCGGGGGACGAGCACUUGGCGGCGGCGCUGGCCGCCCCUUGGGACCCGGUGAGCCUGGGCGGAGCUUGGCAGGAUAUCCAGGCGCGACUCGGGAACAAGGCCAAGUUCACCUCUAGUAGCUUUGAGGCCAGAUGUACCACCCAGAAGGGAUGUUAUCCACAUAGGAAAAACACAAAGCUGAGGGAGCCCUCAGUGACCUCAGACGUCAGUAUUGAAACAGAGGUGGGAGAUCUCCAGGUGACAAUGAAGAAACUCAAAAAGAUGUUUGGGAUACUGUUUUCUUGAUUUCCUUAAAGUGGACUGUCCCUGCAUUUUUGGGAGUGGAAAAAGAACUGAUGAGGAUGACAGCAAAUCCAUUGCCCAUAUGAGUGGGACCAGUUCCACAAGGUCAACCCAGAUGCAGAACGGUUGCGUGGUUAGAUCCAAAACAUCCCCGGCGUGGCCUUCAUUGUACGUGACUUGUUAGCUUCUUACCUAGAGUGGGGCAUCCUACAGAUGCUGUCGUGUGGAGAGUUACAGCAUGUAGAAUCUAAAUCUUACCCUGGGGUCCUUUUAGAAGGUCAGCUCUUUUUUGCUGUGUUUCAAUGAAAACGUUGUGCCCUCUGGUUAAAUACACCUGUUUUGUCCUGACAAAAGUCUUAGCGGAUAAAUGUUUUUAAAUUGGUUAAAAAAAUAAAAUCACAUGCUCAGAUCAAAGCUAUACAAGACAUUCACUGACAUUAUUAGAUUCAUACGGUUGCCAACUUUGUAGCUAAACUAUAACAUCUACUUCCAAUAUUCAAUACUAGAAAACUAGUCAAAGGGGGUGACCAUCCUUGCUUUGCUGUCAAUUAGCCUUGUGGUCUUGGACAUGUCACCAGCCAGGUUUGAUCCAUUUCCUCGUCUGUAAAACAAGCAGUUUGGCCUUUUGGGCCUGGGGCACUCUCAG
rnacentral:lncRNA from 1 species